ensembl:lncRNA
UUUUUCUGCGAGUCUAGGACAUGUGGGCUGUGUUAAUACGCAAUGGAGUAAAUAACUUGUUUAUUAUUUUCCUGACGUUGGUAGGAUUUGUCUUUUUGGAAGGUUCAUGUGGUAGAGAGGACAAGGCUAUUGGCAACUUCCAUCUUAUGUGAAAAUAAAGGGCCCAGAGCUUUGAGCCCUCAUGCUUUGCUCCAGAAGUCCACGGAUACCAUGUCACAGAGGACAAGGGCAUCUGGGUAAGCUGGAAGCGGCACGACCUCUCCCUCUCUUUGUCGCAAUUCGGGAAGGAAACGUUUCUGCACAAACGUGAAGAAAUACAGCAGACUUGCCUUAUUUCGGACCACAGGAGGGCGACGUUCAGCUGCAGCUGAAACAAACAGGACUUCCCAAAACAGGUGUGCCGUUUACUGAUGUAAAAAUAAAUGAGAUGAAG